rnacentral:rRNA from 1 species
AACGAGAAAGUGGAGCAAUCCAUGAGUAAAGUGGCGCACGGGUGAGUAACACGUGACUAACCUACCCUGGAGUGGGGGAUAACUGAGGGAAACCUUAGCUAAUACCGCAUAAUACCCACGGGUCAAAGGAGCAAUUCGCUCUGGGAGGGGGUCGCGGCCGAUUAGUUAGUUGGCGGGGUAAUGGCCCACCAAGACGAUGAUCGGUAUCCGGCCUGAGAGGGCGCACGGACACACUGGAACUGAAACACGGUCCAGACUCCUACGGGAGGCAGCAGUGGGGAAUUUUGCGCAAUGGGGGAAACCCUGACGCAGCAACGCCGCGUGGAGGAUGAAGUCCUUCGGGACGUAAACUCCUUUCGAUCGGGACGAUUAUGACGGUACCGGAAGAAGAAGCCCCGGCUAACUUCGUGCCAGCAGCCGCGGUAAUACGAGGGGGGCGAGCGUUGUUCGGAAUUAUUGGGCGUAAAGGGUGCGUAGGCGGUUUGGUAAGUCUUGUGUGAAAUCUACAGGCUCAACUUGUAGUCUGCACGAGAAACUGCCGGGCUUGAGUGUGGGAGAGGUGAGUGGAAUUUCCGGUGUAGCGGUGAAAUGCGUAGAUAUCGGAAGGAACACCUGUGGCGAAAGCGGCUCACUGGACCACAACUGACGCUGAUGCACGAAAGCUAGGGGAGCAAACAGGAUUAGAUACCCUGGUAGUCCUAGCCCUAAACCAUGAUUGCUUGGUGUGAC